AUGCUACCUUUGUCUAUUUACUAGCAAGUGUUGGUUUGGAAGUACUCGACAUACUUCCAUUGGCAUUUAAAUUAAGCAUGGUGCUUAGGUUAAAUAGCCUUCCUUAAUCUGAUUAGACAUGGAGUCUAGUUUGGUUACUGAACUAAAAACUGCUUGAGUAGAUAUUGGUAUAGUUUGUUGGACUAACCCCUGUAGGAAAACUUUCAAUAUCAACCGGGAAGUCCUGACAUAAACUCACAUUGGAGAUGAAGAAAGUGACACAUGAAGUUUAACGAUUUGCACAAGGAAGACAUAGCUCAUUCAUCAUAGAGAGAUGAUCCAUGGAACAAGACAAAGAGUGUCACAGACCCGAUGCACAACCGCUAAGAAAGGAGAGCUUCCACAAGGUGAUACUAUACCAUCACUCUUCAAUUAAGGUAACAUAUUAAAGUACUUGAUUAUCACUUUUAUAAGCUUUUCCAUGGCUCUAGCAUUCACAUAAAUAAAGAGACAAACAUGUUUGAUUUAUAACUCCAGAUUAACCAACUCAAUUAAUUCAACAUGUUUAGUCCUUUAAUCUUUGUUCUUAGUACUACCUUCGUGAUCCCACACUCCUAAUCAUAUAAGCUAAAAUGUUGCACAUUCAAUCUUUGGAAGAUAUAAACAAAACAUAAAUAUAGAUAGAUUAUCUUUCCAUUAGGUUGAGCCAUCUGAUCUGACAAAUGCUACACUCAUAAUCCAUCAACUUUGUCUUGCUCACUAUGGUUAAGGUUAGAGAAGAACAAAUACACUUUUGGUUCUGUUGGUGUUUUCCACCAACAGGGCCCAUGCACUUGAUCUCUACCUUGUCUCUAUGAAUAGGUACAUUUCAAGCAAAACAUGGAGGAGUUUUACAACUCCCAGACUCCACCAAAUGAAGGACCUGGAUCUACGAGCACAAACACACUGAGCAGGAUAUUGCCAACACCGCACUUUGAACUGCUGGGCAAACAAAGAACAUAGGUGACUCUAUAUCAAGAGGUGCAGACGUCAAGGUCCACACCUAAUCAAAUAAUGCACCUAAAGGAUGAAGACGGUGAGAAGUCUUGUCCAAAAGACUUAAAACAUUGGAUCCUUGUCGGAGGAGGUCAAGAUCGUCGACUCAAGUCACCUUUCCAGAUCAAGAAGGACGACCCUGGUGUUCCAAGCAUCGAGUGCACAAUCAAUGAAUACUCUUUUCAGAAGACACUCUACGACACCGGAUCUAACGACAACAUAAUGGCCGCAGUCACUUAUCAGCUCAUGCAUGGAACCAUGGUCCUACAACCAAGAUACAUUCAGCUCCAGACAAUUUUCAGGUCAUUAACAUAGGAGAAGAUGAGUAUGAUCCACCCACCAUCCUUGGACGACUGUUCCUCAACAAUAUCAAAGCCAUUAUCUAUAUUGGAACCGGAGAAGUCCACAUGCACUUCCCCUCUGAGAAGGUACGCCGCUAUUUUACUGACCCUAACUAUUUAGUUGAAGACUCUAAGCAGGUCAGGACAAGAAGAAGACAACGCAACCGCAACCAGAGGAGGCGAAUCAUCAAGGACGGAUGGAUAGACUACGAAGGAGAAGUGAUAAGGUCUGAAGACAUACAGCUUGAACAGAACUGUCCUGAGGAGACUGUAGCACCGAGUCAGGUGUGGAGAGAGAAGUUAGUUAUACACAAAGAAGAGGCGCCGCCGGAAUCACCGACUACGCCACCUAGCGAAUCCCAAACGACUGAAAACACAAGGAGUCCCAUUCGGAGGACUUAAAAACACCGAACGCCUUGCCAAGAGGUAAACUUGGUAGUUAUCUUUUUCCUUUCAAUAUUCAAUUAUAGUUUGCUUAGUUAAUCAGGUUCAUGCUAUCUUGAAAAGAAAAUAAAAAUGUAAAAAAAAUAGUAAGCCCCAUGUGAGUAUGCUCAUGGCAUAAAACCCAUAAGUACAUUCACUGUGGUGGCAUAAAAAUAAAAUAAAUAAGUUUUCAUCUUACAAUAAAAAUAUAAAAAUAAUAAGUGCAUGAGCCUGCUAAAUAAGUAACAUUUAUUGAGGAGGCUCAACAUGAUAAAGGCUAGAUAUUUAUGCUAACACUUAACCAGUUCCACAAAGCUUUGUUGUCUAUUUAAGCUCCACAGAAUUCAAGGAUCAAAGAAGACUAGCAGACGGAGGACAUCCUAAUCGCUGUCAGGGUGCUGCCGACUUUCAAAUACACCUCCAUCACCUGCUAGCUACAUGAGAAGAAAUUACGUCAAAAUCCAGCUUGGGGGAGAGCACCCCCAUUUAUCCAGCUAAGUGUUUCUACUCGCAUUUAUACUUUACUCAAAUAAUAAAAAGAUGCAUAAUCAUGAAAACCCAAAUAAAGAUUUUGUGCUUUUAUAUAUAUAUAUCUUUGCUUAGUUUGCUAAAUAAAUAAAUAAAUAAAGUUUGCUAUGAACACUCAUGAUAAACUCUCACAUGGAAAUGAUGAAUAGUUGCUCUGCCAUGACUAGUUCUUAAAAUUGAAAUCUCUCUCAAGUUUAGGCAUGACUGUUAUGAAGAUUUGCUCUAAACCUGAACUUGUGGGAAGAGUACUUGAUCUAAAGUCUAAGUCGUUAACGGAUAUGAUAUGGAAAGGUUGAGCUGUUGUUUAUCUAUUCCUAGAGAUGCUAGAAUUCUGGAGAAAUUUAUAUUUGAAAAUCUUUAAAAUAACACAUGAUGAGUUCCUGUAUGAUGAGAGUUUAAAUUCCAACCACAGCCAUAUAUACAUGCUUGCUAGACUUUGAGCCACACAUUUACAUUUUACUGCUUAUAAGCAUUGAGUGUGGUCAAGCUGUGUAGACCCUAAGGAGCUUGUCAUGCGGUUAAAAUCAAGAUUCACUUGCACGUUCACUCAUACAUGCUACUUCUACUCCGGAAGUACCAUCCACAUAUAUCCACACAUUUCCAUCUCCAGAUUUACCCAAAAUUAUUCUACUCCUAAUCCGGGAGAGAAUAGCCAAAAAACAUUUUCCUAUCCCUGUUAUUCCCUGUGAAAUAAAUGCUCCAGUUAUUUUGGUUACUACCACUUGCUACAUUAUUUCAGGAGAUGAGUGCUCUAAAAAAAGAGAGAAAGAAAAAAAAGAGAAAAAAAAUAUAUAUAUAUACGAGGAAAUAAAAAGGGGCAAGUGCCCGGAACCUCGAAGAAAAGAAAAAGUGAGACGAGAGGUAAAAAUGGACAAGUGUCCGACAGUAGAAUUAGGGGUACAAGAUACCCACCUGAGAGAAAAAGAAAAAGAAAAAAUAUAGAGCAUCUCAUUCUCCUCAAAAAGCUUCAAAGUGCAAGAAAGGUAUGUAUCCCCUUAAAAGAGCAAAAUUAGAAUUAGACUUUCACCAUUGUUAUCACCAUCAUCGCCAUACACCAUUCACUCGCCACACAUGCACAUCUUGAUUUGACUUACUGACUUGUUUCUCUGGAUCCAUGGUUUGACUAUGCAAUAAAUGUCUUGUAAGUAUGUAUUAUCUAUCUCCCACCUAUGAGCUCCAGAUAUCAAAACCUUAUUAGAGUAGGAUGAGAGAAGGCAUACACCAUUACUGCCUUGGUAAGGAUCCAGAAAUACCACAAAAGAGAGAUUUGAGAGAAUCAUAUAAGGAAUCUCUGAGUUUUAUUUAAAAAUCUGCAAAAACUCUAGAGCUAUAGCUGAUCAAAGAAUAAGAGACAUGGCGUUUGACUUGACCGUUCUAUCUUUUAACUGCUCAAGACACAAGUGACGGUUACAAGCCCCACGGUGAAAGGUAAAAUGAGUAAGUUUUAAGUCUUAGCAGUUUAUUCUAACUCAGAGAUAAGAUCUUGAACGCAUGUGUACUUUUAAGAAAUGAAACCACUACAGAAACUCUUGAGUCCAUCUUUGCUCAGGGACGAGCAAGAGGUAAGCUUAGGGGAGUUGUUGACGGUCCUUAAGUACCAAAAAUAAUCAUCAAAUAAAUAAAGAAAAGGAUCCAAAUGCAACCAACACCCAGACUUAGGGUUUUAACUGACAGAAUUCCACGAGUUUUGGUGUUUGUCUAUUUCUGCAGGGGGUUAUCAGGAAAUAAGGAAGAAAGGCCCACAUGUCGGGAUUACAUAGAGAUAUCAACGCACCACGCAAUUUUCUACCAUCUAGAAGACUCCAGAAGCCACGGGAAGAAAGCAGAGGCCGAAAGGGGCCAGGCCCAGGGCGCCCGCCCUGAGGACCUGGGCGCCCGCCCACCUCUGGACUCCGUUCGGGACUCUUUUCGCACACGAUGUUCCACCGACCUAAUGGAUCAAGGAUAAUGUAGUACCACAUCGCCUACCGACCCAAAAACGCAUAGAGGAGAGGGACUAUAUAAGGAGACCCCCCUGGCCCCUGGAGAAGACAAGAAGUUAUCAUAGAGAUUGAGGGGUGCCCUCGAAGGAAAACCUCUUCUGUAAAUAAUAUUUCUUUUUAGGCUUAGCAACCAAUGUAAGUAGAAAUAGAUCUUCUAGUUUCUACUAGAUUGAGAGAGAUAGAGUGGAGGUGUAGAUCGGAGGAAGGCCAGCCUGUCGGUGUCUACUCCGAGUUGUACCUACGGGAUCAAGUCUCCUAACCCGAGGCUUGCUUCUAAGAUUCUUCAGUAAUUCGACUUCUAAUUCUAGUAAGUUCUUGUUUUAUUGUUCUUUGGUUUAUGAGUUUACUUUAAUCCUCUUCCGGUUGAGUAUUAGAGUAAUCAUUGCUAGCAUAAACAUGGUGUUUAGGCUAGGGUACUCAUAGAUAUCCCCUGACUAGCUGGACCGUGGUAGUAGCGAGGAACGUGACAUUUCCGAGUUACCUUUGUAUCCCAUAUCUUGUUAGCAGGACGGUAGGUUUAUAGGUGCGGGUCAAACAUCCUUUGUGGUGUCUAGAUUCCGUAAGCUUCCCCAAUAGAACAGUAGAUCAUCCUUACCAAGGUUAGAACGAGACUACGGUUGCAGUCUUCUCUAUACAUCACUCACAUCGAGAAACAUCCUUUGUAGCCUAAAGGGGUAGUAGCAAUAGAUUUGGUUAGUCAGAUGCACCCUUUCUCCCAGUGGUAAAAAUAUAAAUACGAUACUCUGGAAAACCUCCCGGGUGAAAUGCUCACUGAUAUCCGUGCACUUGCGGAUCAUUUUCUUAUUGCGUUACCAAAUAUCAACAGUAACAAUUCUUACAACAAUAAUAUUAAUUUUCCACCUCUCAGAGAGUUAGUGUCUAAUCAAGGAAAGCUAAUGGAUAACCUUGUUGACGGUCCUUAAGUAUCAAAUUUAAUUAUCAAAUAAAUAAAGAAAAGGAUCCAAAUGAAAUCAACAUCCAGACUUAGGGUUUUAUCUGACAGAAUUCCACGAGUUUUGGUGUUUGUCUAUUUCUGCAGGGGGUUAUCAGGAAAUACGAAAGAAAGGCCCACACGUCGGGAUUACAUAGAGAUAUUAACGUGCUGCGCAAUUAUCUUACAUCUAGAAGACUCCAGAAGCCACGAGAUCGAAGCGGAGGCGAAACGGGGCCAGAGGCAGGGCGCCCACCCUCCUGCCCUGGGCGCCCGCCCCCUCUGAGAGUCUAAUCAGGACUCUGCUUCGUGGGAGAUCUCCACCGACCUAAAGGAUCAAGGAUAACCGUUCAAUCUAAGUCGGUUUGAUCCAACGGCCCAUAUUCACUUGAAGGGACUAUAAAACCAGACCCCCUGGCCCCUGGAGGAGAGAGCCUCUCAACCCUAAUUCAUUGUUCCUCAAGGGAGAAGAAGCCUGUGAUCAAGAUUAGAGCCACCACAUCAAUUAGAUAUCUAGAUUGGCAUAGCUACAUAGGAUUAGAGCUAGAAGGAGUCAAUCUUCGAUUGGUUUCUGGAUCUGUCAAGAGGAUUCUUGGUAAUUCUCUAAUUGUGCUUCUAAUUGCUUUCUAAUUAUCUUUGUUCUUCAAUAUUAUGAAUAUGACUUUGUUCUACUUCAAUAUAUUGCUUAUGACUUUGCUCUACUUGCUUAUAUUCAAGAUUAUAUUGUUGUUAGUUUAUCAUAGUUAUGUACUUGGCUUAGUUAGAUUGGAUCUAUAUACAUGCUUAGGAUCGUAUAGCAUUUAUCCAUCGGAUCCAUGGAUAAAUGAUAGAUAUUGUGUAGGCGUGGUGCUUAUACCGUAUUUAUCUGCGAUUGUAUAUGCCAGAUCGGGGGGUAGUUCGUGAUAGUGACAGCUUCAUUGAUUCUUAUAUAGUCCCCCUCUCAUGUAUUGGGCUGGCAGAGCAAUAUUAUUACAGGGGAGUGAUUGCUAUGUUUCUCAUUUACCUUGCUAAUAUCACUAUGCGUGGGCGUAGUCUUGUCUCGCAAUGAUUGCUAAGUAUGCUUGCACUAAUUAUGAUAAUGCUAGACUAUAUAGUUGAGAAUAACUUAGGGAAUAUUCUUGUAGUUCGUUCUAAUUCCAUGCUAAUGACUUUCUAGAGUAUCUAAUUGAGGUGCUUAUCAUAUUUAUUAUGUGGCUAAGUUAUGAUCAGAUUAAUUAUCCUUGUCACUAUUCAUUAUUUCAUAUAUCCUUUAUGUGACACUUAUCCCUUUAUGAAAGAGUUAGAUAAAUGUUCUCAAUUAUACAUGCAAUGAUAGAUACUCAAUCUCAUAUUCUAUUCUGUAAUCAAUAUUGAUGAUUGUUAAUCCCUUCCCAGUGGUAAAAAUAUAAAUAACGAUACCUGGACUACUUCCCAGUUAAAAUGCUACAUCGGUAUUAAUCUGUGUGCUUGCAGAUCCCAUUCAUUAUUUAUUUAGAAGAGCAAUUGCAUAUUUCAAUACCGCGUCUCUUAUAUCAUGCUAGGGAUGACAACUUGACUUAAGUGGUGUGAGGGAUAGGUUUGGCAUUUUUGGCACCGUUACUAGAUUUAGAGAACUUAGUCUACUUUUGGUAAUGAUGUUAAAAAUACCCAACAAGCAUUUUUGGCGUCGUUGCGGGGGAAGGUUGAUUACUAAUCAGGAAUGGAAUAAAGGAUUUUGAGUUAUCAUUCGCAUCACUAAUAUGAUUGAGCUUAUUAAUUCUCUCAUACAGUUUUACCCUGAUAUUUUUCUAUUUUAUCUUAUGCAGGGGAAUGUAUGAAUAGAAGACAUCUCCAGGAAAUUUUGUUGACAAUCCCGAAGCCUUAUUCAAGAAGACAAGAGCCAAGCUCAAGAAGAGAUCAUCAACACUUCAGCAAGAAGCUUCAUUCAACCAAGAAGAUCACCGGAACUUGUCUUCAGAGUUCGAAGCCGUGGCGAACAAAUCAAUCCGUGAAUUCUCAGCUCCCACUACGGACAACAUCCGCACUGGACCUACUGCAGAGAUCGAUGGCAACUUUGAGCUCAAGCCUGGACUUAUCAAUAUGGUGCAAUCCAACCAGUUCUGUGGGAAGGCACACGAAGAUGCUAGUGCUCAUCUACAACACUUCCUAGAGAUUUGCAACACAUUCACCAUAUCAGGAAUUACCAAAGAUGCUAUACUACUUCGCCUCUUCACAUUCUCACUGUUAGGAAGAGCGAAGCAAUGGUUCUACGCUACAAAGGAGAAGAAUACUACGUGGGCACUCUGCUCAACAAACUUCCUGGCAAAGUUCUUUCCCAUGGGCAAGACCAAUGCUCUCCGUGGGAAGCUUACAAGUUUUCAGCAACAAACUGAUGAAUCUGUUCCAGAAGCAUGGGAGCGCUUUCAAGACUACAUCCUAGAAUGUCCCCAUCAUGGAAUCGAGAGUUGGCUACUGAUGCAGAUAUUUUAUCAUGGGCUCGGCAACAGUGCCCGAUAGACCAUGGAUGCUGCAGCUGGAGGAGCAUUCUUAUCACUUACUAUACCACAAGCCACAGCUCUUGUGGAGAAGAUGGCGUCCAACCAAAGCUGGAAUGAAGAGAGGACCCAGACACGCAAGAAAGGUGGAGGUAUGCAUCAGCUGAAGGAGGUAGACAUGCUGUCUGCAAAGCUAGACCUACUCAUGAAGAAGCUCGACGAUAGAGCUGGAGACAAGAAGGAAGUUAUGCACAUCUACGACUCUCACAUGACUUGUGAGGAGUGUGGAGACACUGGACACUCAGGCAAUCACUGCCCUGAGAUGCUUGAGGAUGUGAACUACAUCAACAACAACUACUACUACUACAACCGUCCUCAACAAAAUCAAGGUUGGAAUCAACAGAGGCCUAACUACUCAGGUAAUUAUCAAGGUAAUAAUUCUUACAAUAAUAAUAAUAAUUUUCCACCUUUGAGAGAGUUAGUGUCUAAUCAAGGAAAGCUAAUGGAUAACCUAUCUAAGAAAUUGGCAUCUAAUGAUAAAAUGCUAGAAAAUAUAAAUAAUAGAAUGGAUAAUUUCUCUACUGCCAUCGAGAAUCAAAUUAGCUUUAAUAAAAUGAUUGAAUCUCAGUUAAAUCAAAUAGUUGCUGCUGUUCUUACUACUAACCCCGGUAUACCAUCACAACCGGAAGGAUUAGAAUCUGCAAAUCUUGUAGACAUGUUUGAUGCAGGUAAUUGGAGUAACCCCGUCACUGAAUUCUCUACUGACCUUCUGCCGGUCAAGAGAGGAGAUCCAGGACGCCCCGUCAUCCCGAUCUCCAUCGGCAUGGUGGACGUCCCAGAAGCACUCUGCGACUUUGGCUCCAGUGUCAACAUUAUACCUACGGUACUCCAUGAAAAAUUCUUUACAUAUCCUUUAUUAGAGACAACCAUGUGUUUGCAGUUUGCAGAUCAGAUGAUAACUUUUCCAAAGGGAAUAUUGAAGAACCUUUGCGUCCGAGUUGGUACCUUGUAUGCCCCAGCAGACUUCGUAGUAGUAGAGACCGGAAAUGAUGAGAGGGCACCCAUCAUCUUAGGGAGGCCAUUCUUGAACACCAUGGGAGCUAUCAUCUACGCUAGUGCUGCCAAGAUCAGUUUCUACAUCAAAGGGAGGAAGGAGACAUUUUUCUUCAAGAACAAGACUACACAAAUUCCAGAUCAAUCCAGACAUGAAUCAAGGAAGAGGACCAACAGGAGGAAUAGGAACAAGCAAGUGUGGACCGAGUCAGCUAAGAUGGUCACUGCAGUUCAUGGAGGUCAAGAUCAUCAACUUAAGUCUCCAUUUUUGACCAAGAAGGAUGACCCAGGAAUGCCAAGCAUCUAUUGCUCCAUAAAUGGAUAUAACUUCUACAAGACAACUUGCGACACCGGAUCGGGCGUCAACAUAAUGGCCGCAGUCACCUAUCGGCUCUUGUUCGGAACCAUGCCCAUAAAAACCAAUAUACAUUUAGCUCCAGAUGGUAGAUCAGACAUUUCGAGAAGUUAAAGGAACAGUAACUGAUGUCCCAGUCAAAAUAGACGAUUAUUUUGUCUACACAGACUUUCAAUUUAUUGACAUGGGAGAAGAUGAGUACGAUCCACCCAUCAUCCUUGGAAGACCGUUCCUCAGCACUGUUAAAGCAAUUAUCUACAUUGGAAUCGGAGAAGUCCAUAUGCACUUCCCCUCAAAGAAGGUACGCCGUUAUUUUACUGACCCUAACUAUAUCGUUGAAGAAUCUAAGCAGGUAAGAAAGCGACGCAACCGCAACCAGAGGAGGCAGAUCAUCAAGGACGGAUGGGCAGACUAUGAGGAGAAGUGAUAAGGUCAGAAGACGUAGAGUUUAAACAGAAUUAUCUAGAGGAGAAUGUAGCACCGAGUCAGGUAUGGAAAGAGAAAAUAACUAUACAUGAAGAGAAGGUGCCGUCGGAAGUACCGACUACGCCACCCAAAGAAUCUUAGGACAAUUAAGAAAACGGAGAGUCCCGUUCGGAGGACUUAAAAACACCGAACGCCUUGCCAAGAGGUAAACUUGGUAGUUAUCCUUUCCCUUUCAAUUAUUUCAAAUAGUUUAUUUAGUUAAUCAUGUUCAUGCUAUCUUAAAAAGAAAAUAAAAAUAUGAAAAACAGUAAGCCCCAUGUGAGUAUACGAGUGGCAUAAAACCCAUAAGUACAUUCACUGUGGUGGCAUAAAAAUAAAAAUUAAAAUUUCUUUUCUCCUUUAUAAAACAAAAAUAUAAAAAUAGGGAGUAAUAAUUAUUGAGGAGUCUCAACAUGAUAAAGGCUAGAUAUUUAUGCUAACACUUAAUCAGUUCCACAAGCUUUGUUGUCUAUUUGAGCUCCACAGAAUUUAAGAAUCAAGAAGACUAGCAGACGGAGGACAUUCUAAUCGCUGUCAGAAUGCUGCUGACUUUCAAAUACACCUCUGCCACCUGCUAGCUACAUCAAGAGAAAUUACGUCAAAAUUCAGCUUGGGGGAGAGCACCCCCAUUUAUCUCGAUAAGUAUUUCUAUCUAUCUAUCUUUAUACUUAUAUUAUUUUAGAAUAUAAAUAUACAUAACUAUGAAAAACCAAAUAAAGAUUUUGUGCUUAUAUAUAUAUAUAUAUAUCUUUUGCUUAGUAAUAAAUAAAUAAAGUGGCUAUGCUAAUCUGUAUCUAAAUAAAACUCUAGCAUGGAUAUGAUGAAUAGUUGCUCUGCCUAAUUUGCACAUUUUAAGUUCUCUCUCAAGUUUAGACAUAACUGUUAUAAUUUAAAGCUUGCUCUAGACCUAAACUUGUGGGAUGAAAACUUGAUCUAAAGUCUAAGUUGUUAACGGAUACGAUAUGAGAAGGUUGAGCUGUUGUUUAUCUGUUCCUUGAGAUGCUAGAAUUCUAGAGAAUUUUAUCUUUGAAAAUCUUUAAAAUGUUGCAUGAUGAGUUCCUGUAUGAUGAGAGUUUAAAUCCCUACCACAGCCAUAUAUACAUGCUUGCUAGACUUUGAGCCACAUAUUUCAUAUUUACUACUUAUGAGCAUUGAGUGUGGUCAAGCUGUGUAGACCCUUAGGAGCUUGUCAUGUAGUUAAAAUCAAGAUUCACUUGCACGUUCACUCAUAUAUGCUACUUCUACUCCGGAAGUACCAUCCACAUAUAUCCACCCGUUUCCAUCUCCAGAAUCACCUAAAAAUAUUCUACUCCUAAUCUGGGAGAGAAUAGCCAAAAAUAUUUCUGUUUUUCCCCUGUGAAAUAAAUGCUCAAGUUAUCUUGUUACUACCACUUGCUAAAUUAUCUCAUGAGAUGAGUGCUCUAAAAAAAAGAGAGAAGAAAAAAAAGGAUACGAGGAAAUAAAAAGGGGCAAGUGCCCGGAACCUCGAAAGAAAAGAAAAAGUGAGACGAGAGGUAAAAAUGGACAAGUGUCCGAUAGUAGAAUUAGGGGUACAAGAUACCCACCUGAGAGAAAAGAAAAAUAGAAUAGCAUCUCAUUCUCCUCAUAAAGUUUCAAAACGCAAGAAAGGUAUGUAUCCCCUCAAAGAGCAAAAGUAGAAUUAGACUUCCACCAUUGUUAUCACCAUCAUCACCAUACAUCAUUCAUUCGCCACACAUGCAAAUCUUGAUUUGGCUUAUUGAUUUGUUUCUUUGGAUCCAUGGUUUGACUAUACAAUACAUGUCUUGUAAGUAUGUAUAUUUUAUCUCCCACCUAUGAGCUCCAGAUAUUAAAGCCUUAUUAGAGUAGGGUGAGAGAGAAUGCAAUGUCACUAUGCCUUAUACCACAAAUACUACAUAUCUUGAGAGAAGGCAUAUACCAUCACUGCCUUGGUAAGGAUCCAGAAAUACCACAAAAGAGAGACUUGAGAGAAUCAUACAAGGAAUCUCUGAGUUUUAUUUGAAAAUCUGCAAAAACUCUAGAGCGAUAGCUGAUCAAGAAUAAGAGACAUGGCACUUGGCUAGACUGUUCUAUCUUUUAACUACGCAAGACAGAAGUGACGGUUAGAAGUCCCAUGGUGAAGGUAAAGUAAGUAAGUUUUAAGUCUUGACAGUUUACUCUAACUCAGAGAUGAGAUCUUAUUUAAAAAAGCAAAUGUACCGUC
rnacentral:lncRNA from 1 species